CCUCCUUUGGAGUUUUACAGUGAGCCCAGGACGUGGGCCUACCACCUCUGGCUAGGAAUAGAGGUGGCCAAGUGACAUCUGUGCUAACUGUAGUGGUUUUCACUACAAGGAUUCAGUUGUGCUUGAAGCCAUCGCUCUUUCUGGAUGAUGUAAAGACUCUGCAGGGCAUACUGAGGAGAACAUCAUAAAGAUUUUGGUCUUUGUGGUACUCCUUGUUUCUUCAUGGAAGAAUCCGAACCUCGACCAAAUACCGUGGGUUGUGCUCCACAUCUUGUGAGUCCUCGACUGUGGAUGUUCUCCUAGUACAACAGAGGCCAAUGCAGAACAGGAUGGAGAGCUGUGAGCACAAUACAGUAAGAUGUGUUUGGACUAAUUGUGGAAGAAGUCACUCACAACAAUAAAAAGGAAGGAGUAACUACCACUGUUGCAAGUACAUGUAUUCUGUACUGGGACCUGGAAAUACAAUUGUGAGCCCAUGGGAAACAAGAUCAGACAAGCUUAAAGAUGGGAGCUUUAAAAAAGGAAAGUAACCUUUUUCUAAAGCAGGAAAUAGUAUUGCUGUUGAGAAAUCACACUGGGAUUGGUGAAAUGAAAGGGAAAAGGCUCUAGGCACUGUGGUAAGUUUGUUGACUUUAUAAGCAUAAGCUGUGCUGUGUGCAGUCUAAAGUUUUGAGUUUUUUGAAGCCUCUUCUGUGUGUGCUGAGUUAAUUGUUUAGUUCUUUACUACUGGUCCCUCUUUUAUUUUCUUUCAGACAUUAGAAUUUUUGGGUAUUACAGUAGGCAAUUACAGUCAAUAAGAGAAAAAUAAUAAUUUGGUGUGGGAGGGGGUGACAUGGUGGCUGUGGAGAGCAACAUGGUUUUAUAUCUAUUGCCAUCAGGUGAGCAGCGUAGGAUUGUGUGGACAAGAGGGAAGAAGACCUUUCUCUUCAGAGACAAGGAAGCAACUCAGAGGAGGCAGUGUGACCAGCAGUGAAAUGUCAGAGACUUUUGUGAACAAAGCAGUGACUGACAGUAGGCCUGGCUGAGGAAUCAGUUGGCAUUAUUGGAGGUACUUAAGGGGAAGAUGAGGCUGUUAGCUCAAAGCUUGGAUUUGUUAGACACUUGUCUCCAGGAUUUUGUAAUGUAAUGACCACAUUUUCAAAAAAUGAAACCUUAGUUUAGAUCACAAUUGAAUUGCCAAUGGAAUUGAAUCACUAUUACCUUAUGCAUCCUCUACCUAGUAAUACCCAGUAGCAGGCGUUGUCUUACAUAUAUGCCGAAAAAUAACCUCAGAAAAAAUAGAAUGCAGUAAAAGCUGGUUCAAGAGGGAUGAAUACAUGAUAGUUCUGCAGUUUUGAGUCCUGAAUUUCAUUUGAAUUAUAGGGUUGCCUACACAGUGAGUACUAUUUUUAGCUGAGAAGAUGGGUUUAAUUUACAAUAACAGUUUCAGGUGAGAUUUCUCAGGUGGAUACACUUGCUGAAAUGUUAGAAAUGUUAGUAUAUUUCUAUGUCCUUUGACCAGCCCUGAGAACAUUGUAUUCUGUAAGGAGAGUAAGGACUGUGGGAUUAGGAGGCAGUGCAGAGUGAUCUCACUUGAAAUUAUCUUGCCUUCUUCUUGCAACUAGACAAAUAAUUUGGUGAAAAUAGAGAUCAUUGUUACCCCAAAAAUUGAAGUGUUUUUUUUUCCUUGUUUUACCUUACCAAAUACAAAUACCCUGUUCAGUUUUCUGAAGGUCUAUGGGCAGAUGUAUUCUGUGCUCCAUUUUUAAUCAAGUUUUAGGCUCCAAUUUACUUUCCAACUGACUUGAUGCAGUUGCUGUACUUUUGCCAUGAGCUGCAGCUGAUAAAUUUUGUCAGUGUGAUUUCUUCAAAAGGAAAGACAAAGCUGAAUAUGGAAAUGAUGUACCUCACUAAUGUGGAACCUUCCUGUGCUUCUAGUCACACUGGCUAUAAAUUCUAACAAUUCCAGUUUGAUGAAAGCAGGCAGAGUUACUUUCAUGUCAGGAUGUAGCAAAAAUCAGCUAAGUGUUAGGACAGACAGAUUAGGGGCAAAUAGUUUGGGGAGAAUAUGUGUAGCUUUGUUGUAUUUGUUUUUGCUGUAUUUCUUUGUGACAUCUGUGGCAUGCAUGCACUCCAUAUGAAAAGGACUGGAGCUUUCCAGAAGGGUAAAAUAUGGCAGGAGUUUGCAAAGAGUACAAUGUCAGGAAGAAGCUACUGUUUUCACAUUUAUACCUUCUGUAACAAUCUAUGUAGAUUUUGGGUGAGAAGUGUUUCUUUAAGUAGUCAUAUUUUGGUGAUAAAGGAGUUAAGUUGUUAGCUAAAUGUACCAGCAGUGUGGCAUUGCUUCUGCAAGGCACGUACCUACAAUCUGAGCACCAGAUCCACUGAAAAGAUCAUUUAAGCAUGUUCUUAGCUAUACUAGUUGCCCAUGAAAAUUCUUUAUAGUGUAAGUCACUGCUUACACCCACCAUGAUGAAAUGUGACGAGGUUGUUCUAGCAGUAUGGGUCAGAAGGUAAAGCAUUACUCUAGUCCGACCAAAUAACAGUCGGUGUUAAUUCAGUGGCUGUACCAAAGGCUGCAUUACUGUGUUUAAACCAAAAGUAUUUCAGCCAAUGUUUCCCCCUACACAGACUCAGUAUUUUGUCCACAUUUGCAUAUUAUAGGAUAUACAGCAUCUGAAGUGAGUAAUUCUAUUUUUCAUUACUAUAUGAACUAAGUACAUAAAUCUGUCAAAAAUAACAAACCAGCAAACAAGUGAGAAGUCUACCAUAUGUUAUCAAAUGAGCUGGCAUAAUGCCUGGUUCAAGGAAGUCUGUGCCCAUUGUCUAGGUAGCAUAUUGUAUGUUGAAGUUUUGGUUAAGUCUGAUACACACUGUAACAAGAUUCAAGUACUUAGCUGCCAGUUUUGUGCUAGAGUGUGACUCUGAGUUGAUACCUCGGUUAAGGAAAAGGAGAUUGCAGUAGUAAUGCACAGAGUUUCUGGAAAAGGAAGUAAGAUUUGUCCAGAAAAAGGGCUUGUUUAAAAAACAAGACAAAACAAAUAAAUCAUUUCUUCAUCCGAGAUGAGGCUGAACAUGCUUCUGUGAAGAAAUAAGGAUAGUUUUCUAUCUGAAAAGUAGGACAAACAAAAUUAUUUCCCUGAAGUCUCUUCCUAGACUGACACCUAUUUCUUAAUGCAUAAGUUACUGGUGAGUGAGGCAUUCCAUCCAAUGGCUACCUUGAGUAAAAAUAGAGGAAGAGUGGCUCUCCUUCUCUCCUUUCAUACCUUGAAAAAUCAAAAUGUGAUCUUAGCACACUUGAGACAUCAAAAUUCACUUUGAGAAAAGAUAAAUGUGGGGCUGCUUGGGAGCCGAAUGUGUUUCUGAAAACCAGUACUGUAAGGGCUCUCUUACUUGGGAACAGUUUUCUUUGUAUUCUUUCUUUUACCACGUGUUUUCUGACCUGUUUGUUCUAUUCUGCUUUUAUAUUUUAAGUGUUGAGAAGGUUUAUUUGUACAUGUAUUUUUCUUACACUGGGCUCAUGUGUUAUUGGCUGUCAGCUUUGGUCCUCAGCUUUUGAUGAUGCAGAAAAUUAAUGGAGUCUUCAGCUCAGGCAUUAUGAUAAUAGAGUGUUCAAGGAUGUGCCAUCACCACCCACAAGACUCAAUAGCUCAUACUACCAAUAAGCUCUUCGUCCUUUGGAUUGCUGUUUUAAUAACCUUAAUAUUUUGUAUUGUGGUAUUUUACUGUUGGCUUCAACACACCUAAAUAAAGACAAGUUGUUUGAAAUGCAUCAGGAGGAAAGAAGAUGUAUUCUCUUUUGGGAAGCAUAUCUCUUUACUGGUGGCAUGCUUUCUACCUACUCAAAAGCAAACUUCAAGGUGACUUAUCAGUCUUAGCCAGCUGUGGUGAGGGAUAACAUUUUUAGAGAACUGCUAUAGAGGAAGGAUGGCAGUAACUACUGUCAAGAGGAUAUUUUACCACUGGACUCAGAAUAGCUGUGCUGAUCUAGAUGGCUGCUGAGCUCUCUGCAUACCCAAGUUAAUUUGUACUUUUUGUUGUACUUGUUGUGGUAAUGUUUUGAAAACAAGAUAAGGUGAAACAAGACCUUGGGAAGUGGGGGAGGGCAUUGAAAACUUUCAUACUGUGUUUUUUACUUGAAGGUAGAGUGCAGGACAUAAGACAGGAAGCUAAUGCUGAAGGGAGAGCACUAAUAUAAAGAUGAUAGGAAAAUACAAUGUAUGGAAAUCCAAAAGUGAAUCAGAAAAGAGUAUGGCAGGUGCAUUGUUUAGUUGCUGCCUGCAAAUAAUGCUAGGAAGCUGUGGAAGUGGAUUCAGUGAUUCCUUUCCUCGCUCUGACCAACCUUACAGAUAAACAUGCUAAGUCUCCCUGGGGAGCCAUAGAGGACCCAAUCCUAAUAAAAUUCUUGAACUUCAGAUGAAUUGUGGAUCCUCUGGAGCAGACAGAGGCUGCUGGUUGUGAUGAUAAUGUGUUAGAUGGUAGAGAAUACUACAGGGUGGUAGUCCAAGCAAGUCCGUUCCUGCAAAGGACAAAACACAGUAAGCUGUGGCAGGUAUCUCCUUGCCCUUGUUUUAUGAGGAUGUAGUUACAGCUAUGUAGUUUUUUGCUAUUAUCUCCUUGAUCCUUAUAAGGCCUUAACUGCAGGAAUAUUCUGCUUUCUUGGAGAAAUCCUUCCUUUGAAAAAUGGUUUUCUUGACCAAAGAAGCUUUAAAAAUAGAAUUUAGUUUUCUUGCUGCCUCCUUUAACAUCAGCCAUGAUGAAUAGUUGAGCAAAUAGGGCAUGGUGCUCUGUUCCAUGUUUUCAGAUCGCGGGAGCAAUUAUUUGACAUGUUUCUAUCUAGUAUGGAGCUCUAUAACUAAGCAGACAAAAUGCCAACCAGCAGGCUGGCUGGAGCAGUUUGCACCAUCUCCCUUAAUGCCCUGUCCCCCUGCCUCUGUGGAAGUGAAGUGCCAGAAGGCACAAUCUGCCCCACAGCAUAUGAGCCGCAUGACUAUUUUCAGCUGCUUUUAAAUCAUCUGCUGUCUUGUAUAAAAAUAAUUGAGAACUACAGUACAAAGCCAAUAGCUCCAAAAUAGCCCGACUCAUAGAAGAUGGAUAGUCCAGAGGAAACAUGAUCCUGCAUGACCAAGCAUCUCUAGUCUCCAUCCUGCUUAAAUGCAGCUGUUUUAAGCAUCGGGAAGUAGAAAAUAUGCUGCCUAUCUAUAAAAAGCUACUUAAAAAUAAAAUUGCUAGAUCCAUAUCUUGCAGUGCAGACUUGUAUCUUUAACAUGUCUUGUACACUGGAGUCAAAAAUAAGCCCUUCAGCUUUUUAAAUUUUUUUUAUUUUAUUUUUUUUUUACUUUUGCUGAUGGUAGGUGGGUUUUGAAGCAUUUUUCUGGUUUGUUUUCCAUAACUGUUAAGCCAUUUCUGCUUUGGAUACAUUUUGUUUUGUUUUUUAUUUUAGGAAGUUUUCCUAUGAGCUAAGGUUUAUUAACUGAAAGGUGGUUAUUUGUCAUUUCAGCAGCAGCACUUUCAGGGUACAGCAAACAAUCUGUAUGCAGCUAAUGUAUUCUAACCAAAGGGAAUGGGCUUUUGUUUAUGCAAUUAUUUAGUGAGACAAAUAUAUGGGCAAAACUUCCCCAAUUUUAACCAGGAAUGGUACGUAAAGGACAAGUAUUAGCUGGAAGCACAAAUAACAGGAAUGACCACAUAGAGUUCUACUAUCUAUUAGUGGUGAAAACUUGCAAAUCAUUUCUUCAAAAAUGAAGCUUCUAAGAGUUCGUUUAAACCUUCUGUACAAGGCCAUUUUUCAUAAAUGCUUUGAUAGCAGAUUCACAGAAAGUAAAUCAAGAUGCCUUCAAAAGAUCCAAAACCUUUUGAAACCAUCUGGAGCACUUGACUUGUGUGAUGUCACCAUGCUUUGUCAUCUUUGCUGAAGUUGCAGCUACAGAGCUUCCCUGGUGAUUCCACGUUAAUGGCCUAAGUGCAGCAAACCCUGGAAGUGGGUAAUCAUGCCUCCCACUUUCCCCCCUGCCCCCCUUUCCCUUCCAAAACCAAAGUCAAUUAGUAGUUUCAGAACAGUGUUUUUCUACAGAAGAGCAAGGCUCUAGGGAUGGACAGAGGUGCAGGGAGGUGGUUUUUCCAUUUUUUUGAGGAGCUGAGUUACUAGCAGACUUGUGUUAACUUAGCAGGAAUGGCUCACUAACUCCAGGUGAUAACAGAGUAAUUGGGACAAACUGAGUAAAACGUAUUGAGCAGCUCAUCGCCCUUCAACAUUAUUAACAGUGGCAGAGAAGUGGUGCUUUGCAGGUUUGCUGGGGGAGGUAGUGAGCUAAUACAAUGAACAUUUUACAACUUCAGGACUUGUUUCUUCUCCUUCUACCACCUUAGCUAAGAAUAAACUUUACCUUGUUAUGUUUUCAUUUGAACUUCAGCCAAGAAGUUCAAGUCCAGAUACAACUAACCCAUCAUUCUUAUGGCUCUUCUUGGAAGGCAGCUGUGGCUUUUGAUUUCUUUGUUCUUUCUGAGAGGUGGGUUGUUUUUUGUUUUAUUUUCUUUUUUUCUCCCGUAAUGAAGUAAUGAAGUUCCAUGUAAUAGGAAUGGUCUCAAAAGCUGAGAUUAAAUUGGUUAUUGAGAAUGGCCAGGCUACAAGAAAAGUGACCGGUAUUGCAGUAAAGUACACUGCAUUAAGCAAUAAACUGUGCUUUAGUGAUAAGAAUGCUAGCAAAAGCUCUAAUGUAAAGCAGGCUAGUAAAAGCACACACAGUGUGCUGGACAAGCAGGUACUCCCUGCUUAU